rnacentral:lncRNA from 1 species
CGCUGGCUCUGGUCCGAAGGCUGCCCCGUCGGACCCCUGCCUCCGCAGGUCCUCGAUCGCCAUAAAGCUGCACGUUCCGGGACAGUCCUUUCUCCUCUCAUUUGAUUGCAUUUCUCCCUGCUGAAGAAACCUUCAGUGGCGUCUGUUGUGCACAGCUCCAGAAUCUCAUCCGAGGCCUGCCAGGAGGCCUUUCCAGCUUGAGCUCCCAGCUGCAGACAGCUCCUGGGGUGUCCUGCCCGCCUCCAGCAGGUGUCUGCGGCUCCUCCGGUCCCUGCAUCCCUCCACGCGGAGGUGCAAUCCAGGUACUGGUGCAGGGUGGACAAUGCCUGUCGGCCUCGCUCAGCUCUGCACCUCCGUACCCGUGCUUCUUUCUCUCGCUCUCCUUCUGCGGCCUCUUUCUUUUUCUUAUUGGCAGGGCCAGUCCACAUUGAGAGCAGCACGGUGAGCACCA